GCUGCAGUCUACCGGUAGCGUCUCCUUUCAGGCCAGGAUAGGCGAAUGUCACCGAGCAGUGACUAAGUUUGUGGUAAAAGGCUUGCACCCAUUUGCCACAGCACAUGCCCCCGAUUUUCGGCCAACCCACCUGGUGUUCUGGCCCUUCUUGAUGAAGAGUGCUGGUUCCCUCGGGCCACAGAUCGCUCAUUUGUGGAGAAGCUGUCUGCUGAGCAAGGCAGCCAUCCAAAAUUCUUCAAAUCAAAGCAGCCACGUGGGGAAGCUGACUUCUCCAUUAUUCACUACGCUGGAAAGGUGGACUACAAGGUAAAUGAUUGGUUAGUGAAGAACAUGGAUCCCCUGAACGACAAUGUGGCGUCUCUUCUCCACCAGUCGUCUGAUCAUUUUGUCUCAGAGCUUUGGAAAGAGGGAGAGGUGUGGAGUGCCAGACAGCAGCCAGCAUGGGGAGUGCUGAGACACGGGAGCGGAGAGCACGAAGACACGGACUUGUCAGGGAAGACACGACACGGGAGUCAAGGGAGAGCACGGGGAUUUAUUGUUAUUUUCCAUUCACUGUAAAUAAAUGCACUGCUGCCUGGGUCCCCCUUUCCUCACUUCCCCCACGGUUGGCCAUCGUCAACUGUGACACCUUUACAGAUUUUGUAUUGAAAACUUCAGCAUUUUUUGCAACUGUGCCAGUUAUAAAUAUUUAAGCUAUUCUGGUGCAAAAAUGUAUUAACGUUACUACAUUUCUCUCCUCUCUUACAUGCUGUUUCUUUCUCACUUUCUUCUGUUCUGUCUCCUUCUUGUCUUCUCCUCUUUUGCCUGCUCUUUUCCCUUUUUGGGCUCCUUCUUUCCUUUCCUAUGAUCUUGCUCCCUGUGGUCUCCUGAUGCUUCCCGAUCAGACAUUCAAAAUCUUCCUCGUGUGUACUUCUUUGACUCCUACGCCACACUGCAGACUAAUGGCACAGACAGUAGGUUUUUGUACCUCCUUACAAUCCUCCCUCAAACUUAGGGUGAACAAGGCAGGCAGGAACUGUUUUAAGGUAGUUUACUGCAACAAGUUUACAAGCAAGGAAAAUUGGAGACCAGAUACCAAGGGCGUAGAUUUGGCAUGGGCGGAAGGGACAUGUCCCCACCAAUAUCCAGCGAUUAUUAAAUUGUCCCCACCAAUAAUUUGAUCUCUUCCAGUAAAGAAAAACAAACCCGAUAGAAAGAAAAAAACAAUCUGUCAAAACGUCUCAUUCACCCAGCGGUGCAGAAAGAGUUAAAUUACGUUCUCUACUGGAGUCCGACCUCAUGUGACAAAUAUGGCCAAUGUGAUUGGCUGUGCCUUUCGGGGAGCUCUGUUUAGUUUUAGCAGCGGCAAGCCUGCGCUGCCAGGACCUGCAAGGAGGAGAAGAGGAUGGCAGCACAAAGGAAGAACCUGGAUAUAAGAAAGUAUUUUUCAAAGAAACCUGUAAGUAACUUAAAGUGAAGUUCACUCAUAAAAUGUGUCCGUCAUAAUAACGUUACAGGCUAUGCUAGGCUUUGGCCCACAUCAGUCUAAAAUUGUAUGUAACCAUGAAUAACGUGUUUUGGAAACUAACUGCACAACAGGCAGCACUA